CCUACGGGUGGCAGCAGUGGGGAAUAUUGGACAAUGGGGGCAACCCUGAUCCAGCCAUGCCGCGUGUGUGAAGAAGGCCCUCGGGUUGUAAAGCACUUUCAGUGAGGAAGAACGCCUGGUGGUUAAUACCCAUCAGGAAAGACAUCACUCACAGAAGAAGCACCGGCUAACUCCGUGCCAGCAGCCGCGGUAAUACGGAGGGUGCGAGCGUUAAUCGGAAUUACUGGGCGUAAAGCGCGCGUAGGUGGCUUGAUAAGCCGGUUGUGAAAGCCCCGGGCUCAACCUGGGAACGGCAUCCGGAACUGUCAAGCUAGAGUGAAGGAGAGGAAGGUAGAAUUCCCGGUGUAGCGGUGAAAUGCGUAGAGAUCGGGAGGAAUACCAGUGGCGAAGGCGGCCUUCUGGACUGACACUGACACUGAGGUGCGAAAGCGUGGGUAGCAAACAGGAUUAGAUACCCUUGUAGUC
rnacentral:rRNA from 1 species